rnacentral:rRNA from 1 species
ACUGAACGCUGGCGGCAUGCCUUACACAUGCAAGUCGAACGGCAGCACGGGGCAACCUGGUGGCGAGUGGCGAACGGGUGAGUAAUGCAUCGGAACGUGCCAUUGAGUGGGGGAUAACGUAGCGAAAGUUGCGCUAAUACCGCAUAUUCUGUGAGCAGGAAAGCAGGGGACCGCAAGGCCUUGCGCUCUUUGAGCGGCCGAUGUCAGAUUAGCUAGUUGGUGAGGUAACGGCUUACCAAGGCGACGAUCUGUAGCGGGUCUGAGAGGAUGAUCCGCCACACUGGAACUGAGACACGGUCCAGACUCCUACGGGAGGCAGCAGUGGGGAAUUUUGGACAAUGGGCGCAAGCCUGAUCCAGCCAUGCCGCGUGAGUGAAGAAGGCCU